rnacentral:piRNA from 1 species
UGCAGUUGGCAAAACUGUGCCUCAUGUUCC